UACGGGGGGGGCAAGCGUUGUUCGGAAUUACUGGGCGUAAAGGGCUCGUAGGUGGCCAACUAAGUCAGACGUGAAAUCCCUCGGCUUAACCGGGGAACUGCGUCUGAUACUGGAUGGCUUGAGUUUGGGAGAGGGACGCGGAAUUCCAGGUGUAGCGGUGAAAUGCGUAGAUAUCUGGAGGAACACCGGUGGCGAAGGCGGCGUCCUGGACCAACACUGACGCUGAGACGCGAAAGCUAGGGGAGCAAACGGG
rnacentral:rRNA from 1 species